UGGAAGAUGCAGCCCCUGAUGAAGCUGUUCAACUCUACACUGAAGCCUGCACUGCUUUGGAAGAAGAUGGCAAGGACCAAAUGGCAUUUGAUCUCUAUCGUGAUGCGUCAAGGGUUUAUCUAAAGCUUGAGAAGUACGCAGAUGCUGCAACUAUUCUUUUGAGAUGGGCCUUGGCAGCUGAUAAGUGUAAUGCAACUCAUAGCCAAUGCAAGGCAUACCUCAGUGCAAUCAUUGUCUACCUAUAUGCUCAUGACUUCAAGGAAGCUGAAAAGUGCUAUAAUGAUUGUUGUCAGUAAGUUUCAAGCUUGCAUCUACUCUCAAAUAAAUGAGUUUAAUCAUUAUUUCAGCAUUGGAAUGGGAAAUAAGAGACAGUGAGCACAAUUGGUUCAUCAAGAAUGCGACUCCAACACAUAAAUUCAUGUGAAGCAAUAUCUGUUCUAUUACUUAUACUGGGAA